AUGGAUCAAGUGAACACAACCCCGGAACCAGAAGGAGCAUCUAAUCCUACACAAGAAAGUACAUGUCCAACUCAGGAGGUAUCUUCUAAUCCGAAUCCGACACCUGAAUCUGAUAUUGGGCAACAAGAAGAAAUUGAUACAAUUUUAGAACCUGCAUCAAAGAAACUUAGAAGUAAUGUGUGGCAAGAAUUUAAAAAGAUGAAAGUGAAUGGAAAAGAUAAGGCUGAAUGCAUCUAG